rnacentral:tRNA from 1 species
ACUCUUUUAGUAUAACAAGUACAGUUGACUUUCCAAUCAAUCAGUUUUGACAACAUUCAAAAAAGAGUA